rnacentral:rRNA from 1 species
UACGGAGGGGGCUAGCGUUGUUCGGAAUUACUGGGCGUAAAGCGCACGUAGGCGGCUUUGUAAGUCAGAGGUGAAAGCCCGGAGCUCAACUCCGGAAUUGCCUUUGAGACUGCAUCGCUUGAAUCCAGGAGAGGUGAGUGGAAUUCCCAGUGUAGAGGUGAAAUUCGUAGAUAUUGGGAAGAACACCGGUGGCGAAGGCGGCUCACUGGCUCAUUACUGACGCUCAGGCGCGACAGCGUGGGGAUCAAACAGG